rnacentral:rRNA from 1 species
GUGUCAGCCGCCGCGGUAAUACGUAGGGUGCGAGCGUUAAUCGGAAUUACUGGGCGUAAAGCGUGCGCAGGCGGUUUGUUAAGAUAGGCGUGAAAUCCCCGGGCUCAACCCGGGAACUGCGUUUAUGGCUGGCAGGCUAGAGUAUGGCAGAGGGGGGUGGAAUUCCACGUGUAGCAGUGAAAUGCGUAGAGAUGUGGAGGAACACCGAUGGCGAAGGCAGCCCCCUGGGACAAAACUGACGCUCAUGGACGAAAGCGUGGGUAGCAAACAGGAUUAGAUACCCUGGUGUUCCAGGCCCAAA